GGGAGGUGCGUGGUUGAGCGAAGCCGCGGGGCCCAACCGCAGUCGCGGGGUCUGGGAGCCCUCUAUUGGAGAUUCUGCCUCCCCUGGGACAGAUGGCUUCUUGAGCACACUCCCACGAUGGGUGGCUGCUCUGGUACAUCUCAUCCACUUCUUCAUCUGUGAAGCUGUCACCCAUGGUGGUGAGCAGCUCCUGGAGGUGGUCCUCAUGAAUGAAACCUGAGGAUUCCUCGUUGAAGCAGGUAUUCAUCCAUGGGGUUCUUCCGCGGUGAAGCCAGCUUGUCGUGCUGUCCCCCUUGUCAUUGAAGCCAUCAUGGUUCUGGUCAAUCAUGUUGAAAGCCUCCUUAAACUCCUGGAUGUGGAACUGGUCGAACAUCACGAAGACAUUGGAUGUGGCCCCUUGUGCUGUGGUCGCUUCUUGGUGGUCUUGGCUUUGGUCCACUUGCUGAACAUUU
rnacentral:lncRNA from 1 species